UACAAAAGCUGGUUGCAAAAUCAAAUUAUAUAGGAAUUCCCCCUACGGUUGUAUUAAUUCAUUUUUGGAUUUGUGUGAAAACAAUGAGUUUGUUGCAGCUUGGGAUCGGUACUACGUCUAAGAGAAGGGGACGCAGACAUCACAUGCGGCAACACCCGGACUGCGUCGACGAUGUUCUUGUUGUAGACAUCACGUCUCCCCCAGUGCAAAUGCCAGCUGAUGGUGUAUCAUGCAUAGAUUUGACUCGUGAAGAUGAUGAAUCUGGAAGGAAUUUUACCGUUGACCUUACAAAUGCCAAUGACGUUUCUGCCAUUGCCACUACUCCAAGGAGAAGAACAACGAGGACAUCCAUUAGAGUGUCGCCAUACCGGAUGAGACACGAA